UUGUCCCUCCUUCUCCUUUACUCUCUCUUUUGGCUUCAGCAAUCUCUCUCACUCUAAAGCAAGCACAACGCCAGUCAACCAACCAACCGCUUCAGCCAUGCAAAUUACUGUCCCGCAGGCUACAUCACCAGCGGCUAGGAACCGUCGCCACCUCUAUACCCAACGUUUAACCUGCAAGAGUUCUCGCGAAGCUGAACACUAUGGCAGUGCCCAACAUGUGCCACUACCUGGACCUCUUCUUCGUCAUCCUUUUCCUUUAUGUAUGCAUAUCCCGAGUCUUGAUUGUGCUAACAGUUGCCGGAUAAUGUGGAAACGCUUUAAAGAAUGGUGGAAAGAUAGUUCAGAUGAGCCGAACGUGAUGCUUGGGACAGGUUUGUCUUUGGCAAAGUUUCAUUGAAAUUUUCCAUCGACGUUGAUCAGUUAUUGGCCAAAUCCCCAAGAACUUAUCCAACGGAGAUGGUUAAACUUUCCAACGGAUAGAACGAGUGGAGUAAGGUGCAUCGCUUCCAAGGAGUUGCCCUGCAGGAGUAUCAUCCUCUGGCAAAAUACAUCCUCCAACAGUGUAAGUUCUCUGGGAUUCUGAUCUUAGUAAUUUCACAGCGAGAUACGCCAAGAAGAAAGUUAACUAUGGUAUGAAACUAAUAUAAUUUUCGUUUUUUAACAAAAAUUAAUUUGUCAUAUCAAUAAAAAUUUAAUUUUACAGAUAAACAUACUAUACGCAAAAGCUAUCGCUCGUACGGCUGGAUCUUUGACUUCAGGCAAGAAGUAAAGUGACUAGCUUCACGUUCUUCUCACCAUGGCACUGCGUCCGAUCUACGAAAUAAUAUUUGAAUUUCAAAGAUUCCGCGACGUCAAGAUUCCGUAGAGGAAGGAAAAAAAAAGUCGUAUAACAUGGGGUGGAGCAUUCGUAUUGGCGAGGCGAAUCGAGGUUGGAAUUUCUUCAGGGAAUCUGCCCCAGACAAGCGAAGACAGAAGAGACUGAUGUCCUGAUGCCGUAACACAGUAUAGCCGGGUAUCCGGAAUGGAUUACGGAAUCAAAUGGGAUAGCAUAAGGGUGAAGCACUCCUCGAUCCAACACGACGCAACGCGACACCUCAUCAUUCCGGCACGUUCAGCAAGGAUCUUUCAACAAUGUCGAGUCCUAUCGAAUCCGGUUAGUUCCUACUGGAUGGAAUCGACUGGAUGAUAUUAAGCAGUGCCUAUGAAGAGUAUACAGGAUGAGCAAAGACCCACUUUAGAAAAGUCACAAAGCAGUAGACCAGUUUAUUCUUACAAAGGAACCAGGUACAACCCGUGAAGUUUUCGAAGGGUUCAAACGGAGCAGUUGAUCCCCCUAGGAUAUUUUCCAGAACGUCGCACCGGAUGCCAAGAGUUUUUAGUAAUAAGCAAGGCCAACGUUUAAGAGGCAGAGAGCUGGUCGCGCAUUGACUCCUCAUUUUUCUUCUUGGAUUUUCUUCUGCUGUGGAUAUACGGAGUAAGUAGGAGGUUAUGGCAGGAUAAGAAGUUCUAUGGGAUUCAUGAAAUUUGGACAUAUCUCCUGGGAAUCGAUACUACCUGGACUGAUAAAAAAUUGCACGGUUUGUAUAACGUUAUCUAUUGGCAGCGUUUCUCAUUCUGCGUCCUGAGUUUCAGUUGUGUGCAGUCACAUCUUUCAGAAAGUUGAGGCUAUAAAGAUUUAAGGUACCUCGCGCGGAUGCCAGGUGUCAGGUAGGAGGCAUUCAGGCAGUUAGACAUUUACCGUCUCAGGGGACAAGAUCCUGCAACCUUCUUCAAGAGGGUUAUUUUUUAUAUGGUUCUGAAGGGUGGCUCGUGAAGGAACUCCUGGUCCGUAUCCAACACUACCCUCGAGGGCGCUGCCAAACUUGGGCAAUUCCAGUAACUCAGAACAGAACCCUGGGUUUGAGUCUGGCACUGGUAAUAACCAGAACCAGUAUAGUCAGGAACGUGAUUGGUUUUUGACUCGUGGGAUGGUUGACCUAUACCUACUACCUGCUUACUUCUUCCCAUAAAACCAAUAAGAAUUAUUAUAAUCCACUGUAAGAACUACAAACUUGCUGCUACAAAAUCUAAAUUCAACUACGGUCUUGGAUUCCCAAUGGGAUGGACUAUAAUGAGCUGGGGCUCGAAAGUCAAGAACUAAAACAAUGAAAGCUGCACUGUAAAGGUGAUUGGUAUAGACUUACGAAACAGCAUUGGAGCUUCUCUUAUGCCAGGAAGAAGAAAGAACGUUACGUUGAACGAUCUAAGUGUAUAAACUUGAAGGCAGGAGCGUAGAUGAAUGGCACAGCACCCAAGACGCCCUUCAAGCUUAAAGCAAAUAGCGUGCAGUACAGUAUGAGGCCAUUAUGAUUCCGGUGAAGGGAAGUCCAUCGAUAAAGGUCGGCCUCUUUGUUAAAGAGGAAGACAAUGGUUGGCGAACCUGACAUUUCUCAAGUCAAUCGACGGACCAUAACAUUUAUUACAAAGCCCAACGCCUUGUGGGACGAGCAGGAUUACAGGGCCCUUGAAAAAGAUGAAGUUCAAAGUUCGCAGGAGUAAAAUGCAUCACCAAAAAAAUCAGUUAGUGUCUUGAAACUAAUGUCCUGGAGGAGAACCAUUAUCAGGCAUACGUGAGCUAUGGAAACAGCCUGGACCUUCUUCGUGCCUGUGUCCUUCAAGGUGGAGGAAGGAGAUGAGUUCUCCAAGAGUUUUCCUUAGUUGAACGCACAACGUGUGGCGCAUCCUUCACCUGCCAGCCGAUAUUGGUUCACACCCAUUCACGAAGACAGACUCGGGAUAGUAAUAGAAGGGGGUGAGAACGUGCCUUGUAACCUGGAGAACGGAAGGAAAAAUCAGUUGAGGAUAAUAUUGGUAACUCUGGUUGAUAGCUGCCAUUUAAUUUAAAAUCAAUGAGAAGCGUUGUGUGUUAUUUCAGUGACAGUAAAGAAUUUUAUUUAUAUUCUUUAUUUCGAGCGUUCAUUAAAUUAGAAUGCAGAUUAACUGAAAGAUAUCUAUAAUAGGAUAAUAAUAUUCAAUGGGUAAUUUUAUGUUAUUAUGAUAUAAAACAUUGUUAUAUGCCAAUGGAUUAUCGAAUGCGUUGUCUAUAGUCGUUUCUACAAGGAGUUAAAAAAGGAAAAGGAACAAAAUAGACCUCAACAGAAUACGUAUUUGAUUUACUCUGCAGUUUAAUCGUUUGGCUUAAGAAGUUGUUCAGCGAGGUGAAAGCACAGAGGUCGACGCUGAAAAAUAUAGGGGCGAGAACCAGGAGUGGAUGAUGUGUCAUACGACGGGACGUAUGUUUGGCCUGACGAACAAAUUUCCAUUAGCGUGUGGCUUAACUUCAGGCAGCAGGAGAAACCCCGGUCAAUCAGCACGGUUCAGGUUUUAAAACCAGCGCAACGGUAAAAUUAAAAACAGAGAGAGAGAGAGCUAAAAUACUACAUGCUUCCUUUUACCAGCCGUAUCAUUUACCACCAACAAGAGAAGCUAAUCAGUCAAUCAACUUCAACGUCCACCAGUUCUGUAACUAAUUUUAAACUUUGGUUCAUUGCCUGUCUUUGCAUACCUGGUCCCAGACUAGUGCAGCCACGCCGUAAGGUUUCAAGUAUUGCAAUUAACGUAUCCAAUGCAUCUGCUGGUUCUUACGUAGGAAGCAGUUGGACCAUUAAUGGCUAUAUAUAGGAAAAGUAGAUUUUCCCACCAAUGAAACCGUCAUAGACAGUGGAAGUUUUCUGGAAAAUAUUUUCAGUUUCUCUUGGUACAUUUUUAUAUGUAUUUAUAAAGGAUACUACUCACAGGGUGUACACACUAGGUCCACUUUCGCAAAUCAGCAAUUCAAUUGCGGAACGAGUGCUUCCGCUAAAAUUGUGCCGCGCUGUUACCGCUGGGAAACAUGCAUAUCACAUGCGUAUGCAGAAACGAUUUAUCUCUGGGAUAGUCGUUAUUUCAGCGCGGCCGCGUCAGGGCACAAAAUUACAUUAACAUAAACACGGCGUUGGCCGCAUGCAUCAAAAGUAUAGAGGGAUCGCUUGUUGAAUCGAGGCACAACCUUGUACUGCACAUAUGUACUGUUGGACACGUGUGGUAAAAUCUCCACAAACGAGGGUUUUAGUAUAGACACCCUUUCAGGUAUUCUAUUUAAUGUACAAUUGAAAAUGAGGGAAAUGUCAAUGAACUGGGUAAUAUUCAUUAGCCAUUGAUCAUUACUCAUUACGGUAGACCGGAUACAAAAGGCUCAGCAGAAUCGGCUGUCGUUUACAGUAAAAAAAUUAAUCCAUAAUACUUCACUAAACCCCAAUGAAUUAAACAGACCUCCGAGUCACUAAAUUAUAAGCAGAAUCUCGCUUGAAGUACACACCCAAAUCUAUUUGCAUCUCGUGAACUAUGACUUUCUUUUUAAUUGCCAUUAACGUCCAAAAACUUAUAAAUGACAUCACGGUUUUGCAAAACAGGAAUAUCCUCUUGAGUGAAAUUGUGAUAUGAAAUUUAUUCAAAGUUUUUUUUUUUUUGAUAACUAAAAAAAGUGUCGUGGCGAGUGGAGAGUGUCGAGGUAAAUUGAUCGUCAGGUUGUUAAAACCCAAAUACAGUGUAUAGCUUUUGUACCUAUAGACGAAGAUGUUACUAGAUAGCGUCGAAGAGAUCCUAGGGUCGGUACAAGGGAGGAUCAGGAGUUAGAUAAUAUUUGAGUUGUCAAACGCCAUCAAGUGUGAAGGUUGGGGUUCCAGAGGUGAAGAUUGUAGGUUAAGUAAGUGGUUAAGAGGUUGCCGCUGUCGGUAAUGGAAUAAAAACACUCAACCGUGAUGUCUCGAUGUUAAGGACCUUCGACGAGGCGGGAAUUUUAUCGUUUCGAAGAAAAUUCCAAGCGACUGGGAUACUUCCAAUGGUAACCUGCUGAUCGUAGGGGAAAAGAAUAAGUCUGUAAAACUCUAACUUACCGACACAUAGAGAAGCGACGUGGGCCGAGCAUAACCUCAACGCCUUACUAAAUAACCUAUGCAAAUUUACAUGGACUGAAGGAUCUGUCAUUUUUGGAGCAUGUGUCCGUACACACUGUGUGGCGUUUAAUCGUGAAUCAAGGACGAAGGCUGGUUAAAGUGCGUCCAUGCAGAUGCAUGCACAUAGCAGUAUCACUGUACAGGGGGUACGAUGAUAGGAGAAGGUUUAUCAAUUAUCAAGACGCAGGUAGCUGCAAGGGGACGUCCGAUGCUUGGACGGGAACUGCUGGCGACUCAAGAUGACCAUGGGAACGAUCCUUGGUCGUGAGGUCGUGAGGUCUUGAGAUCUCGACUUGGGGGGUGGUUUUUCGUAGGAAGGCGGAGCGACGUCGCGCGUCGAGUACUAACCGACGCCGGGCGUCCUGCCCCCUUCGAGUUUGGUGGGGACCCGUGGAGAACGCAGUUUCCAACGGAGUAUCAAGCGAGUAUCACGCGAGUCUCUCAACUUCGCGUCGUUCGCUCUUACGCCGGAGCACGUGACAGUAGUGAAACGUGUUCGGUGACGGCAGUGUAUGACGCUUUGUGAAAGUCAGCAUAUUUUUGGGAGACUACUAUAAAAUACAAUUUUUAAAAUUCCUUCGAGUACAUGUAAUUUAUUUUCGAGACAUUUGCUAACUGAUUUUUUUGACAGUUUUCUCAGAAACGAACACUUGAUUCAUUUUUUUUUAUUCCGUACUCUUUAUCUGAUCUCGCGGAGUAUUGAAAACAUUGCUUUUUUUUUUAUUUGUAAGAAUAAAGUGUUUGCGAUCUGAGAAAAUUUUCUUCGACUUUUCUCUAUGUCAAUUACAUUCAACACGCGUAUCGGUACUGUUAAGAUUAAGGGGUGUCGCGUGGAGGGAGAAACCUGCUAGGGGAAUUACUGUUGUCCUUUAGCGAGAUAAGUAAGAUCAUUAAAGGUUGAACUUGAUCAUUUUAAUUGCACCCUCACCAGGGUUCCUAAAAGUGGCGAACAUAGUUUAUUUUCGGUUCUUUAUGGCAGCGGGCUAAUUAGAAUUUUAUGUAAAGAAUUUUACGGACAUUUAGAUGAAUUAUGUACCUGAGGAUCUGAAAUCCCAUUGUAUUAACAUUAUACAGUUACGACUGUGGUUCAUUGUCCAAUCUUUUUAUUAUGUUCAAAUUUAUGUUUACACCUAGGUCACGAACUUGACCGAUGGAGAAAAUUUAAUCAGACUGACUAAAAGUCCUCCGCCUACGCUCUCUGCCAGCUGGGCCAAUUUACUUUUUCUGUAUUAUCGUUUCCAUGUAGCGGUAGAGGCAUACGUGAAUUAUAUUUUCAAUGAAAAAAAAAAAAAAACAAAUAAGAGCACGGAGACAGAAUCAGUUCCACACGUAUCACGGGAAAGUCAAUAUGUUGGAGUGUGACGAGGCGAAGAGGAAAAGAAAAUGAAAUAAAAAAAUUUUCACUUUAAAACCCAGAGCGAAAUCACUUUUAAUAAGCCCACCGAAAGCGCAGGCAAAUUAUAACUUCUUCAAAGGGAAUCGUGUAAAGGCAUUUUCCCAUUAAUGAAAAAGUUUAUCGAAUAUUUUUCACUCUCACAUAAAUCCGCAGACUAGACGAAACGAGAUCCUCUAGUUUGUACGUUUUACAAAUUACACGAGAUGGCUCUGCACAUUUUAUUUGGUUAUUUACGAGGGACGGAAUUACCUGAAUUUAAGGAAUAUUUUUAAUUUACACUCCCAUUUUUGCUUUCGAAUGUUCACUUUAAAAGAAAAAGGAAAAAAAAUAGUGUAAAACGUAUGUACAACUUUCGAGUGAAAAUAUAAAACCACCCUUCGUCCUCUUUCAUAAGGGUUUCUCAAAAAGGUUUCCUCGUGUCAUUCGAAUGCCUGGAAGGGUUGAGAUCCAAAGAAAUCACACCGAGUGGCAAGAGGGUCAGAGGUCGUGCAACUAGAAAAGAGUAGUACUAAUGGGAGCUGUAAGAGUUUGUGAGAAGAAGAAAAAAAAUUGAAGAAAAGGGGUACAUUGGCAUAAAGUAAAGUGACGAAAGUUUGGUCCGCAGUAAAUGAGACUGUUGGGCUUGUUGGGUUGAUAACGACGGUUCCUUAUUAAUGAAAGUUUUCGCUACGGUUUGUGAGAUGCAAAAAUUAAUGCAAUUAUAAAUAUGCGCUCAUAAAUUACGUGCAUACGUAUCAGUGCUGGUUUCAAAGGGAACUGAGAGCAAUGUCAAUUAAAGUUAUCUAGGUCGAUCCUCGUUAAUAUUACGUUAUCUUUAUUUUCAUUAUUUCCUAUUAAUUACGCUUAAAAUAAUAAUACCCUGAGCAUAAGAGAUACCUUUUAUGAUUGUGUAACAAAAGUGUUGAAUGUGAAAUAAUAACGUUUCGAUAAUCCAACUGUGAUUGACGUACAUUGUCCAGGCAUGCUGCACAGCAGUCAACGCGAAACAGGGGGUCCAGCGGAAGACGAUGGAGUUAAGUAGGUAGACAGCAUCACAGGGACCAUCACGAGAUUUUCCUCUUGGCUCUCCUGCGGUGCACGAUGCUUUUCCGUCACAUCUUUAUCAUACUGUUUGUCGUCAACGUGCCAAUCGAAUCGUAUACGUAAUGCUCGUACCCGUCGUCGUGUCACUGGCAGACGUGACGUAGAAGUGUGCCAAAUACAGGACUAUAGAAAAUAGGUGCAUAUAGGUAUAUUGCAAGUACGGCAGAUUACGGAGGCUGAAUAUCGUGGAUGGUCAACUUCUGGCCUGGAUGUUUAUAUGGUCGAGUCUGCACUUGUCAUCCAAAUUAAUUUACCACUACUACUGAAAAUCCAGGACGAUCACCCCCUAGACAUUAAGGAUAAUACAUGGAGCAGUAUAGGACGAUCUAAUGAAGUCCCAAUCGAUAUAUAAGAAUGUUAUAAAGGAUGAAUAAAUUCUGUGACAAUCUACUUAUAAAGGUUGAGUAAUUCCAAAGUUUUGUAACAACCCAUAUUUAUGUACGUCUUACGGAAGUCACUUGAAUUA